rnacentral:rRNA from 1 species
UGGGAUGACGUCAAGUCCUCAUGGCCUUACGGUAGGGCUACACACGUGCUACAAUGGCAGUGACAAUGGGAUAAUCCCAAAAAGCUGUCUCAGUUCGGAUUGUCGUCUGCAACUCGACGGCAUGAAGGUGGAAUCGCUAGUAAUCGUGGAUCAGCAUGCCACGGUGAAUACGUUCCCGGGCCUU